UACAGAGGGUGCGAGCGUUGUCCGGAAUCACUGGGCGUAAAGGGUGCGUAGGCGGGUUUUUAAGUCAGAGGUGAAAUCCUGGAGCUCAACUCCAGAACUGCCUUUGAUACUGAGAAUCUUGAGUACGGGAGAGGUGAGUGGAACUGCGAGUGUAGAGGUGAAAUUCGUAGAUAUUCGCAAGAACACCAGUGGCGAAGGCGGCUCACUGGCCCGUUACUGACGCUGAGGCACGAAAGCGUGGGGAGCAAACAGG
rnacentral:rRNA from 1 species